rnacentral:rRNA from 1 species
UGGUGCAUGGCCGUUCUUAGUUGGUGGAGUGAUUUGUCUGGUUAAUUCCGAUAACGAACGAGACCUUUACCAUACUAAAUAGUUUGAUCUAUUCUUAUUGUAUAGAUUUAUUUUUAAACUUCUUAGAGGGACUAUUGGUUUCUAAACCAAAGGAAGUAAAGGCGAUAACAGGUCUGUGAUGCCCUUAGAUGUUCUGGGCUGCACGCGCGCUACAAUGAUAAUCUCAACGAGUAUUUAUUUUAUUAUAUUGCUUUAUUGGAAAAUAUGGCUAAUCUUAAACGAUUAUCGUGCUUGGGAUAGAUGAUUGCAAUUAUUUAUCUUGAACGAGGAAUUCCUAGUAAUCGUAUAUCAUCAGUGUGCGAUGAUUACGUCCCUGCCCCUUGUACACACCG